rnacentral:rRNA from 1 species
CAGUCGCCGCGGUAACACAGAGGGUGCAAGCGUUAAUCGGAAUUACUGGGCGUAAAGCGCGCGUAGGUGGUUCGCCAAGUUGGAUGUGAAAUCCCCGGGCUCAACCUGGGAACUGCAUCCAAAACUGGCGAGCUAGAGUAUGGUAGAGGGUGGUGGAAUUUCCUGUGUAGCGGUGAAAUGCGUAGAUAUAGGAAGGAACAUCAGUGGCGAAGGCGACCACCUGGACUGAUACUGACACUGAGGUGCGAAAGCGUGGGGAGCAAACAGGAUUAGAUACCCCGGUAGUCCCUGUCUCUUAUAC